rnacentral:rRNA from 1 species
CACGUAGGGGGCAAGCGUUGUCCGGAUUUAUUGGGCGUAAAGAGUGCGUAGGCGGUUUUCUAAGUUUGGUGUGAAAUCUCCCGGCUUAACUGGGAGGGUGCGCCGAAAACUGGAAGGCUUGAGUAUGGGAGAGGUAAGCGGAAUUCCUGGUGUAGCGGUGAAAUGCGCAGAUAUCAGGAAGAACACCCGUGGCGAAGGCGGCUCUCUGGAACGCAACUGACGCUGAGACGCGAAAGCGUGGGGAGCAAACAGG